UGGGCUUGACAUUUAGGUGCCCCGAAGGGAGACCGUGUUUCCACGGCUGUCACCUAAAUGUCAAGCCCAGGUAAGGUUCUUCGCGUUGCGUCGAAUUAAACCACAUGCUCCGCUGCUUGUGCGGGCCCCCGUCAAUUCCUUUGAGUUUUAGCCUUGCGGCCGUACUCCCCAGGCGGGGCACUUAAUGCGUUAGCUUCGGCACGGGGGGAGUCGACACCCCCCACACCUAGUGCCCAUCGUUUACGGCGUGGACUAC
rnacentral:misc_RNA from 1 species